rnacentral:sRNA from 1 species
GUAACCCCUUACUGAGGUAAGGGGCUUGAAGCUCAAGCUUCGGGUCUCUUAUCUUUAGCAGGGAAGCUGGAGAAAUCCAGCUUUCAUUGUCUAGACUAAGCUAUCCAAUCGGCUUCAGCUGACUGGAUAGAGGGACUACGUUAUCCAUGUCAUCACACCCAAGGAUGAUGCCCAAGUCUUUGGCUCUGU